AAGAGUACAAUGUCCCCACAGUGGAAAUGGCAGAACAAAGGCACCAAGCUCGAGUGUGCAGCUGUUAUUUGUUAACAAACAAAGAGCACAGUGACAUUGGAGUGACAAAGUCAAUAAUGAAAUAGCUAGAGAAAUGAGGUCACAGAUACAGGGUGAUCGUCGUGGAUCAAAACUUAAGUGUUUGAAAACUAAAUGAGGGACUUCCUCACCGAAGUUUGAGAUAAGCAAGGUUACUACUAAAGUCACAAAAUCUACUACAGAAGGGGCAGUAACUAGGAAGGGAGGAAUCUCGGGAAGAACCAUCGACCCCUACAACCUAGAAGCCGCUCUACAUCAUCAGACUCGGGCACCUGAUGCUCAAGAGUCCCAGGUACUUCAGGUCCAUCCAGAACUCUUUGUUUUGUAGCAUGGAAUUCAUCCUGAACCUUAUCACCACUAGAGGCCUUUUGCUCUCCCAAGAAACACUUAGAUGCUCCGUUUCCUCUGGGUACACUUCAUUUAACUACAUUGAAUCCUCUGGAAUUUGGAGCCCUUGUGAGGUGUUUACGCAUCACGCAGGUCUCCAUCAGCCACCUUUAGCAGGCUACAGCAACUUUAGCAGGUGCUGCAGCCUCUGCCCCUGUGGUGACAACUAAUCAUUCCAUUGGACUAAAACGAUAUACUUUAAAAAACAAUGUCCUGGAAUUGCCGAGACUGCUCAUAUAAGGCCAUGAAGGUCUACACAGCAAAGAUUGCACAAUAACCCAUUAAAAUAAACAUUUGCAACCACA